AGAUGCCUCUCCUCUUCCCAACACAAAAUGAUUCUUCUUCUCUCUCACACUCCAUCUUCCCUCAUUUUCUCUCAUUUCUCUCUCACACUCUCACACACAUUUUCUCUCUUCCUCCCACUAUGAACCACGAAAUUUUACAGCCAACAUGUCCAAGAACACUCAAGAUACUCAAAAUAUGCAUCAUCUAAUGGUGUUCAUUAAGGAAUUGGUAGUUGUACACGUGGAACAUAGUCAAGGCACCAUUUGCAUCAUCUCAAUGUAUUGAAUCAUCGAGUAAGUGGCACUUAGGGACACUUCACUUUUAGGAGCAUUCGCAUGUGUUGUAUUUCAAUUUACAUUGUAAUUUCUUUUAAAAGUUGUUCAAACCCAUUGUAAAAUUGUAAUGAUUUUUAAUACUAUGGUUGGUGUUGUCUUUUAA